rnacentral:tRNA from 1 species
GAGGGCGUUUUGAGCCGUUUUUCCAAAUGCGCUUUGAAAUCGUUGAAUAAUCAGGCGGAUUUUGAUUCCGCCAUUCGGAGGUUCGAUCCCUCCCGCCCCA